AGGGGUGGGGGAAGAACAGAGACGGCAGCCUCUCUCGUUCCCACUGGAAGAAGAGCGACAGAAAAUGCCCAGCAGUGAUGAGGCUCCCAUUCCAGAAAACAACGAGGGCAGAUUCAUCCUAGAUCUCUGGGAACUCAAGGCCGGUGGAUGGGACAGCUCAGUCUCCCCUUUCCCAUAGAUGGGAAUAUAGAGGCCAGAGAGACCCACCCUUUUGACCAAAUCACGUGACCAAGAGUGGCACCCUGGAAUUCAGGGCCGUUGCCCUAGCAACUCAUGGGCUCCUUGGAUCUUAACCUGGUGUAACCAUUCCUUUCAUACCCUCUGUCUGCUCAGGAUCUUCCCUGCUUUAUAAGGAGGCUCUUUUCCAGCUCAAAGCCAGGUUCGGGUUUGCCCAGGGCUGCAGCUGCAAGAUGAGUCACGGUUCUACUUCCCCUGGAAGGGCAGAAGUUGCAUAAGAUUGUUGAGGCUCAAGCGAGAUAAUGUGUGAGGCUGUUACUCCAGACUAGAGCCUUGAUUUUUAAACUUCAGCGUGCAUCAGAAUCGCCUGGAAGGUUUGUUAGAACCCCGCCCCCAGAGUUUCUCCUUCAGGGGGUCCAGGGUGGGCCUGAGAGUUUCUGAAGUGUUCCCAGGGGUUGCCGAUGCUGCUAGUCCAGGCACUAUAUUUAGGGAACCCCCGUCCUAAAGCCUCACCAAUUGAAUCUCCUAAGAUGAUGAAGAUGGCCUACAUCUGUGCUGUCCUAAACGGUAGCCAACAGCCACACGUGGCUACUGAGAACUCGGAGUGUGGCUAGCACGCCUGAGGACCCGAAUUUAAAAAACAGUUAAUUUUAAUUAACUUAAAUUUAAAUAGCCACGUAUGGUUGGUGGCCAGCGUUUUGGACAGUGUUGUUCUAGAGCUCAUCUGAGUUUGCAGAUGAAGAAACCGAGGCUUUGAGAGGUACCUCCCCUCCCUUGGAGUCUCAUGGCAAUCCUGGGGUGGUGCUCCGGCUGGCUGGCCUUCUUGAACAGGUCCUGUGAUAUGGGAACAUUUGAGUGCUUUGGGGGUGUCUUUGUUGCUUUGAGUUCCAGGUAGCUGAAAGGAGUGGGCUGGAAGGGGACGGGGAGACCCAUUUGCUGGCUCAUGACAAAGAUGAGAGCUGCAGACACAGCGCACAGCGGCAGGAAAAGGCUAAAUGAAAGAGGAUCAUCAGAGCGAAUCACGCUACUGCUCAGAAUGACCAGCUCUUCGGGAUUGAAGAAAGCUUCCUUCAUCCUGUCCUUGGCCUCCGUGGUCAAAGAGGUCUCACAUUAUUCCUAGAAUGAGACUCUGCCUUUCCAUUUGAUGGCUCAGUGUCAAGUCGCAUAGAAUCAUGAGAUUUCUGAGCUGGAAGGAAUUCUACGAUUCUAACAUGGGGAGUCUGGAGAGGGUGGGGGUGUAGGUGUUGAGGCUCCUUGGGCAGAAAUGGGGGGAGCAGGGCACAGAGCAUAUUUUCCCCCACUUGGUUCCAUUCCAGGCUCCUCCAAGCCAAGCUGUGUGUCUUGCCCCGGGUGUCCUUUGCGAAAUUUAGGGCAUUGCAACCGCCUAUUGGCAUGUCAUCUGCCCUUGGGUCACAGAGCGCUAAUGAGUGCGUUUUACAAUCCUCUUGUAAGACAAAAAAGUUCUGCAAGUCCCCACUCGACCCAAGAAGUCCAGCUGGCUUCAGCUCUCACUUUGAACUUAGCGUGUUCUCCCCCAGACCUGACCCUCCUUGAGACUUCUCCAUUUCAGGACACAUUUUCUAUCUGAUUGCUAUCACUUUCCCUCCUCCCAUCCAACGUCUGCACACCUCAGUUCCAAAACUUUAUAAAUCUGUCCGCUUCCCUCCAUCUCCACCGUUACCACCCUUGGCCAAGCCAACAUUGCUCUCACUUGGAUUAAUGCAAGCACCCCCGAACUGGCCCCCGCCUUGCAUCCUGCCUCUCUCUGAUCCAUUCUCCACAUAGAGUGGAUCUUUCUGAAGAUCAAAUCACACCACUCCCUGGCUUAAAACCCUCUAAUGUCGUCCCAUUGCUCUUUUUUGUUUGUUUUGUGUUUUUGAGACAGAGUCUCACUCUGUCACCCAGGCUGGAGUGCAGUGGCACAAUCUCAGCUCAUUGCAACCUCCACCUCCCAGAUUCAAGUGAUUCUCCUGCCUCGGCCUCCCUAGUAGCUAGGAUUACAGGCGCGUGUGAUACCAUGCAUGGCUAAUUUUUGUAUUUCUAGUAGAGAUGGGGUUUCGCCAUGCUGGCCAGGCUGGUCUCAAACUCUUGACCUCAAGUGAUCCACCUGCCUCAGCCUCCCAAAGUGCUGGGACUACAGGCGUGAGUCAUUAUGCCUGGUCCCCAUUGAUCUUAAAAUCUAAACUUGCAAGAUGGCCACAGGAACUGGCUCUGCUGAUUUCUCUGAUUUCAUCCAGAAACACUUCACCUCUCAAACAUGUUAAGCUCAUUCUCACCCCAGGGCAUUUGUACCAGCUGUUCUCUCCUCCUGGAAUGCCCUUCCCCUAGAACUUUACAUGGCUGGCUCCUUCCCAUCGUCAGGUCUCAGCCCAAUAUCAUCUCCUAGAGUGGCUGUCCCUGGCCUCCCGAGAUAAAGCCAGCCAGGGGGACCUCCCUCACUUUCACUCUCUACCUUAUUACUUUUUAAAUUUUCUAAGUGACAUGAUUUGUUCAUCUAUUUGAUUUCUCAUUUAUUGUCUGUCUGGGGCUAAUAGCAGGCAGGGGAUUGAGUUUUGAUCCCCAGCACCUAGAAUCGUACCUAUCACAGUGUGACUCCAUAAAUUUUUCUUGAGCUACGUAAGCAAAUUCAAUUUGAGCCAGCCACUUGACGGGGAAGCCGAAUUCUACCAGGUCUCACUGUCCCUUCCCUCCCAGCUUCAGGGGCCUUGCUGACCUCCUUCCUCUCCAUUUUGCUGUGCCCUCUCACUGUCCCUGAACUUGAGAUCCUGGAGGUUUAGCUGUGCUCUGGGUCCCUUGAAGACUUCGGAGGCAAUCCACUAAGAAAUGGGGAUUUAAGUGAGACAUGAAGAAGAACUUCCUUAUGGCAAGAACUAUAAGAUGUUGAAGACAAGACACAGUAUUGGGAGUAAAGGCGGUGAGGCACGGAAAUAUAUUUACCAACACCCAGGGAACCGAGUCUUCUCCCCCAGGAUCCCUGCUCUGCUCGUUCAGGGCAGGAAUCCCAGCCAGCACAAGGCCCAGGGCUGCUGAGUGAACUCACUAGCUAGCUAGUCACUGAGCAACAGAGUCUGGAGUCUGGGUCCCCUGAUGCCCAGUCUUGAGCUCUUUCAUGUCCUCCAUUCCUCACUCAGUUGACACGAAGGCACUGGGGCCUGAAGGACACGGAACAGGUGAGGCCAGUCCCCCUGCUUGAACAGCUCUGUGUAGGAAAGGAGAUGACUCCCUCUCCCCUCUCCCCUCUCCCCACGGUCUCCCUCUCCCUCUCUUUCCCCGGUCUCCCUCUGAUGCCGAGCCGAAGCUGGACUGUACUGCUGCCAUCUCGGCUCACUGCAACCUCCCUGCCUGAUUCUCCUGCCUCAGCCUGCCAAGUGCCUGCGAUUGCAGGCGUGCGCCGCCACGCCUGACUGGUUUUCAUAUUUUUUUGGUGGAGACGGGGUUUCGCUGUGUUGGCCGGGCUGGUCUCCAGCUCCUAACCGCGAGUGAUCCGCCA
rnacentral:lncRNA from 10 species